CUGGCUUUUCAACCAAGCGCG
rnacentral:siRNA from 1 species